CCUACGGGUGGCAGCAGUCGAGAAUUUUUCACAAUGGGCGCAAGCCUGAUGGAGCGACGCCGCGUGGGGGAUGAAUGGCUUCGGCCCGUAAACCCCUGUCAUUCGCGAUCUAGUAGCGGAAGAGGAAGGGACGGCUAACUCUGUGCCAGCAGCCGCGGUAAUACAGAGGUCCCAAGCGUUGUUCGGAUUCACUGGGCGUAAAGGGUGCGUAGGUGGUGAGGUAAGUCGGAUGUGAAAGCUCGGAGCUCAACUCCGAAAUGGCAUUGGAAACUACCUUGCUCGAGGGUUGGAGGGGGGACUGGAAUACUUGGUGUAGCAGUGAAAUGCGUAGAUAUCAAGUGGAACACCAGUGGCGAAGGCGAGUCCCUGGACAACCCUGACACUGAGGCACGAAAGCUAGGGGAGCAAACAGGAUUAGAUACCCUUGUAGUC
rnacentral:rRNA from 1 species